CUCACUUUGAAUUACCUCAAUUGGAUAUCGAGAGAAGAAGUUAUGAUAGAAACACUGAAAGCUGUGCAGUGUCAACCGGACUACAACCGGUCGACCGAAACUGCCUAAAAUGAAAAUUCUCGUUUUUCUCUAGAAUUUAAAUAUUUAUUUUCAUCAAUUAUUUUCUCAAAGGGCCACCCACGUUUUUGGCAAUGAAAACCCCACUAAAUUGAAGCAUUUAACCUCAAACUUAAAUGGCACCCAU
rnacentral:lncRNA from 1 species